GGGUGCGUACUUGCAGGCGUCCUGUCACGCCGGAGGUCGCGAGUUCGAGUCUCGUCGUCCCCGCCA
rnacentral:tRNA from 1 species